AAGAGUUUUCCAAAUAAAAUGAAGAGGGCUAUCAUGGCAUAUCAAGUUUCUCUAAUUUUCAGGAAACAAAGAUACUAAUUUGCUUUACUCUUAGGGAUUCUUAAAAGGCCUCUUUUCUAACUGCAUAUUUAGAAUAUAUAAUCAGAGGACCAACGUUCAAUAUCUUUUUUUGUGCCAUCACUUUAAAAAGUGCAGCCAUGCUCCCCACUUAACUAUCUGGAGUUGAGAAAUGAUCUGGGAGUUGGCCCAGAAAUAGUGUGAACAGCUAGAGCCAAUAUUGACAAAUCCUUAUUCUGCAACCCCACAAGUUUCUCUCCUAGGUAAGCUCAUGGGGCUCUCAAUCAUACCCUGUCAUUCUUACUUCAGACACUAGUCCCACUUCUUUGGUUAUCUGUAUUCUGAGUCCACAAAUCAGAGGCAUCCAGUUGAAAAAGCUGAAAGCUUCUAGAAUGGCACUAUCCAAUAUGGUAGCCAGUGGCCCCCUGUGGCUACUGUGCACUUAAAAUGUGGCCAGUCCUAACUGCAACGUGCUGGCUAGGGGUAAGAAUGCAGCAGUGAACAUGGUUCCUGCACUCAUGAAGCAAAUGUAUCCACUGUGGUACAAAAGAGACUGUAAAAAACAAACCCAAAUGGACAACAGAGUUCUGAACCAUCCUGUGACAAGUCUAGUUACCCUAAAGCUGUCAUGCAGGAGAGACCAUGUGGAGAGAAGGAGAGUUAGAGAGAGGAGGAGCCCCUGCUGUUUGAGUAUUCUCAGCCCAGACACCAGACAUGAGUGAGGAAGCAUUCAGACCCCAACUCCAGUUUAAAAACGCCACCACUCAACAGCCUGUUU
ensembl:lncRNA DOCK8-AS2 DOCK8 antisense RNA 2